rnacentral:tRNA from 1 species
GGGCCUUUAGCUCAGUUGGUUAGAGCUGCGGACUCAUAAUCCGUAGGUCCCUGGUUCAAAUCCAGGAAGGCCCA